rnacentral:rRNA from 1 species
AGUGAACGCCGGCGGUAGGCCUAACACAUGCAAGUCGAACGGCAGCACAGUAAGAGCUUGCUCUUACGGGUGGCGAGUGGCGGACGGGUGAGGAAUACAUCGGAAUCUACUUUUUCGUGGGGGAUAACGUAGGGAAACUUACGCUAAUACCGCAUACGACCUACGGGUGAAAGCAGGGGAUCUUCGGACCUUGCGCGAUUGAAUGAGCCGAUGUCGGAUUAGCUAGUUGGCGGGGUAAAGGCCCACCAAGGCGACGAUCCGUAGCUGGUCUGAGAGGAUGAUCAGCCACACUGGAACUGAGACACGGUCCAGACUCCUACGGGAGGCAGCAGUGGGGAAUAUUGGACAAUGGGCGCAAGCCUGAUCCAGCCAUACCGCGUGGGUGAAGAAGGCCUUCGGGUUGUAAAGCCCUUUUGUUGGGAAAGAAAAGCAGCAGGUUAAUACCCCGCUGUUCUGACGGUACCCAAAGAAUAAGCACCGACUAACUUCGUG